rnacentral:rRNA from 1 species
UGUGGUGGCGAUAGCGAGAAGGAUACACCUGUUCCCAUGCCGAACACAGAAGUUAAGCUUCUUAGCGCCGAUUGUAGUGAAGGGUUUCCCU